rnacentral:lncRNA from 1 species
AGAUUUAGUGUUUAUGAUUCAAGUCAAACUAUACGAUGCAGUCAACGUAUAGAAUAUUAAAGAUAAGAAAUGCCAUAAGUCUAUCUAGUUAAGAGAAGUGAAUAUGCAUAUUAAUGAAUAUGCAUAUGCGCACAUGCUUGCAUAUAUAUAUGGCCGAUUUGAUUCUUGCUGACAUCUAGAGAUCUUAACUACUAGCUAAUCUAAUCUACACAACGAAUAUAUAUAUUUCUUGUAAUGCAAGUUUGGGAAAUAUAUAGUUUUAAAAGUAGGUACGUAUCUUCCCAAAAACCCAUCUCAAGGCUCUCAAAGUUGCAAAGGUUGACCAAGAAAUAAAGAAAUAUAAAUUACAAAGAGAGAU